GACGAACGCUGGCGGCGUGCUUAACACAUGCAAGUCGAACGGAAAGGCCCUGCUUUUGUGGGGUGCUCGAUUGGCGAACGGGUGAGUAACACGUGAGUAACCUGCCCUUGACUUUGGGAUAACUUCAGGAAACUGGGGCUAAUACCGGAUAGGAGCUCCUGAUGCAUGGUGGGGGUUGGAAAGUUUCGGCGGUUGGGGAUGGACUCGCGGCUUAUCAGCUUGUUGGUGGGGUAGUGGCUUACCAAGGCUUUGACGGAUAGCCGGCCUGAGAGGGUGACCGGGCACAUUGGGACUGAGAGACGGACCAGACUCCAACGGGAGGCAGCAGUGGGGAAUAUUGCACAAUGGGCGGAAGCCUGAUGCAGCAACGCCGCGUGCGGGAUGACGGCCUUCGGGGUGUAAACCGCUUUCGCCUGUGACGAAGCGUGAGUGACGGUAAUGGGUAAAGAAGCACCGGCUAACUACGUG
rnacentral:rRNA from 1 species